rnacentral:rRNA from 1 species
UACGUAGGUGGCAAGCGUUGUCCGGAUUUACUGGGCGUAAAGGGCGUGCAGGCGGUUUGUUUAGUCUAGGGUGAAAGCUCCCGGCUUAACUGGGAGAGGUCCUUGGAUACUGGCAAACUUGAGGGAGGCAGAGGAAAGUGGAAUUCCCGGUGUAGUGGUGAUAUGCGUAGAUAUCGGGAAGAACACCCGUGGCGAAGGCGGCUCUCUGGGACGGUACUGACGCUGAGACGCGAAAGCGUGGGGAGCGAACAGG